rnacentral:rRNA from 1 species
GUAGGUGGCAAGCGUUGUCCGGAAUUAUUGGGCGUAAAGCGCGCGCAGGUGGUUCUUUAAGUCUGAUGUGAAAGCCCCCGGGCUCAACCGGGGAGGGCCAUUGGAAACUGGGGAACUUGAGUGCAGGAGAGGAAAGUGGAAUUCCACGUGUAGCGGUGAAAUGCGUAGAUAUGUGGAGGAACACCAGUGGCGAAGGCGACUUUCUGGCCUGUAACUGACACUGAGGCGCGAAAGCGUGGGGAGCAAACAGGAUUAGAUACCCUGGUAGUCCACGCCGUAAACGAUGAGUGCUAAGUGUUGGGGGGUUUCCGCCCCUCAGUGCUGCAGCUAACGCAUUAAGCACUCCGCCUGGGGAGUACGGUCGCAAAGACUG